AGUGAACGCUGGCGGUAGGCCUAACACAUGCAAGUCGAACGGCAGCACAGUAAGAGCUUGCUCUUACGGGUGGCGAGUGGCGGACGGGUGAGGAAUACAUCGGAAUCUACUUUCUCGUGGGGGAUAACGUAGGGAAACUUACGCUAAUACCGCAUACGACCUACGGGUGAAAGCAGGGGAUCUUCGGACCUUGCGCGAUUGAAUGAGCCGAUGUCGGAUUAGCUAGUUGGCGGGGUAAAGGCCCACCAAGGCGACGAUCCGUAGCUGGUCUGAGAGGAUGAUCAGCCACACUGGAACUGAGACACGGUCCAGACUCCUACGGGAGGCAGCAGUGGGGAAUAUUGGACAAUGGGCGCAAGCCUGAUCCAGCCAUACCGCGUGGGUGAAGAAGGCCUUCGGGUUGUAAAGCCCUUUUGUUGGGAAAGAAAAGCAGCAGGUUAAGACCCCGCUGUUCUGACGGUACCCAAAGAAUAAGCACCGGCUAACUUCGU
rnacentral:rRNA from 1 species